rnacentral:rRNA from 1 species
CCGGCACGGGUGAGUAACACGUAUGCAAUCCACCUGUAACAGGGGGAUAACCCGGAGAAAUCCGGACUAAUACCCCAUAAUAUGGGCGCUCCGCAUGGAGAGCCCAUUAAAGAGAGCAGUUUUGGUUACAGACGAGCAUGCGCUCCAUUAGCCAGUUGGCGGGGUAACGGCCCACCAAAGCGACGAUGGAUAGGGGUUCUGAGAGGAAGGUCCCCCACAUUGGAACUGAGACACGGUCCAA